AACGUAGGUUCCGAGCGUUAUCCGGAUUUACUGGGCGUAAAGCGCGUUCAGGCGGUUUGGCAAGUCGGGCAUGAAAUCUCUCGGCUCAACCGGGAGAGGUUGUCCGAUACUUCCAGACUUGAGGGCAGUAGAGGGUGGUGGAAUUCCGGGUGUAGUGGUGAAAUGCGUAGAUAUCCGGAGGAACACCAGUGGCGAAAGCGGCCACCUGGACUGCACCUGACGCUGAGACACGAAGGCCAGGGGAGCAAACGGG
rnacentral:rRNA from 1 species